rnacentral:rRNA from 1 species
AGCUCCAAUAGCGUAUAUUAAAGUUGUUGCGGUUAAAAAGCUCGUAGUUGGAUUUCUGCCGAGGACUUCCGGUCCGCCCUCUGGGUGAGCAUCUGGCAAGGUCUGGGCAUCUUCUUCGAGAACGUGUCUGCACUUGACUGUGUGGUGCGGUAUCGAGGACUUUUACUUUGAGGAAAUUAGAGUGUUUCAAGCAGGCAUACGCCUUGAAUACAUUAGCAUGGAAUAAUAA